rnacentral:rRNA from 1 species
CCAGACUCCUACGGGAGGCAGCAGUGAGGAAUAUUGGUCAAUGGCCGAGAGGCUGAACCAGCCAAGUCGCGUGAGGGAAGACGGCCCUACGGGUUGUAAACCUCUUUUGUCAGGGAGCAAAGGGCGCCACGUGUGGCGUUUUGCGAGUACCUGAAGAAAAAGCAUCGGCUAACUCCGUGCCAGCAGCCGCGGUAAUACGGAGGGUGCGAGCGUUAUCCGGAUUUAUUGGGUUUAAAGGGUGCGCAGGCGGAGGUGCAAGUCAGUGGUCAAAUUGCGGGGCUCAACCCCGUACUGCCGUUGAAACUGCAUCCCUUGAGUGCGCGAGAAGUAUGCGGAAUGCGUGGUGUAGCGGUGAAAUGCAUAGAUAUCACGCAGAACUCCGAUUGCGAAGGCAGCAUACCGGCGCGCAACUGACGCUCAUGCACGAAAGCGUGGGUAUCGAACAGGAUUAGAUACCCUCGUAGUC